AGAGUUUGAUCAUGGCUCAGGAUGAACGCUAGCGGCAGGCUUAAUACAUGCAAGUCGUGGGGCAGCAGGGGUAGCAAUACUCGCUGGCGACCGGCAAACGGGUGCGGAACACGUACACAACCUUCCUUAAAGUGGGGAAUAGCCCAGGGAAACUUGGAUUAAUACCCCGUAAUAUUAUUAGAUGGCAUCAUUUGAUAAUUAUAGCUCCGGCGCUUAAAGAUGGGUGUGCGGCUGAUUAGGUAGUUGGCGGGGUAACGGCCCACCAAGCCUACGAUCAGUAACUGGUGUGAGAGCACGACCAGUCACACGGGCACUGAGACACGGGCCCGACUCCUACGGGAGGCAGCAGUAAGGAAUAUUGGUCAAUGGACGCAAGUCUGAACCAGCCAUGCCGCGUGGAGGAUGAAGGUCCUCUGGAUUGUAAACUUCUUUUAUCUGGGAAGAAACCCAAGGUUUCUACUUUGGUUGACGGUACCAGAUGAAUAAGCACCGGCUAACUCCGUGCCAGCAGCCGCGGUAAUACGGAGGGUGCAAGCGUUAUCCGGAUUCACUGGGUUUAAAGGGUGCGUAGGUGGGCUAGUAAGUCAGUGGUGAAAUCUCCGGGCUUAACCCGGAAACUGCCAUUGAUACUAUUAGUCUUGAAUGUCGUGGAGGUAAGCGGAAUAUGUCAUGUAGCGGUGAAAUGCUUAGAUAUGACAUAGAACACCGAUAGCGUAGGCAGCUUGCUACACGAAUAUUGACACUGAGGCACGAAAGCGUGGGGAUCAAACAGGAUUAGAUACCCUAGUAGUCC
rnacentral:rRNA from 1 species